UAACAGGAAUACUCCACCCCAUUAAUACCCCAAACCGAGACCAAGGGGGGUAAGUCUCUCAUAUCCACCAGUAAAGGGAUUGGUGGAAAUAAUCGUAUCG
rnacentral:ncRNA from 1 species